UGCAGCCUUGUCAAAUUCAGUGUAACCCCCUCAGUGGGCUACACUGGCCAGAAUGGCUGCUACAGCGAGGAGGUAGUCCAUGGGCCCCAUGUUCUAGUACAGUAGAUACUGGGGAUAAAUAGGGCUAUGUACAACC